rnacentral:rRNA from 1 species
GACGAACGCUGGCGGCGUGCUUAACACAUGCAAGUCGAACGGAAAGGCCCUGCUUUUGUGGGGUGCUCGAGUGGCGAACGGGUGAGUAACACGUGAGUAACCUGCCCUUGACUUUGGGAUAACUUCAGGAAACUGGGGCUAAUACCGGAUAGGAGCUCCUGCUGCAUGGUGGGGGUUGGAAAGUUUCGGCGGUUGGGGAUGGACUCGCGGCUUAUCAGCUUGUUGGUGGGGUAGUGGCUUACCAAGGCUUUGACGGGUAGCCGGCCUGAGAGGGUGACCGGCCACAUUGGGACUGAGAUACGGCCCAGACUCCUACGGGAGGCAGCAGUGGGGAAUAUUGCACAAUGGGCGGAAGCCUGAUACAGCAACGCCGCGUGCGGGAUGACGGCCUUCGGGUUGUAAACCGCUUCCGCCUGUGACGAAGCAUGAGUGACGGUAAUGGGUAAAGAAGCACCGGCUAACUACGUG